rnacentral:rRNA from 1 species
UGCCCUAGANAGGGGGACAACAGAAGGAAACUUCUGCUAAUACCGCAUAAGCGCACAGUAUCGCAUGGUACAGUGUGAAAAACUCCGGUGGUGUGAGAUGGACCCGCGUCUGAUUAGCUAGUUGCAGGGCAACGGCCUUACCAAGGCGACGAUCAGUAGCCGGCCUGAGAGGGUGAAACGGCCACAUUGGGACUGAGACACGGCCCAAACUCCUACGGGAGGCAGCAGUGGGGAAUAUUGCACAAUGGGGGAAACCCUGAUGCAGCGACGCCGCGUGAGUGAUGAAGUAUUUCGGUAUGUAAAACUCUAUCAGCAGGGAAGAUAAUGACGGUACCUGACUAAGAAGCACCGGCUAAAUACGUG